AGGGGUGUAGUUUAGCGGUAAAACUAUGGUCUCCAAAACCAUCGUUGUGGGUUCGACUCCUUCCACCCCUGCCA
rnacentral:tRNA from 1 species